UCCAGGGAGAGCCAACCUCCAUGUGAGUAAGCUGACUAUUGUGGCAGCUGCCAUACCAGAGAGAACACAUGGUCAGAGCUCACGGGUGGAACAAAGACCCGUGUCUGGCCAGGAUCCAGGUAUCCAUGCCAACACGGGCAUCAGGACUGUGAAUGAGUGAUUCCCAAAUCUCAAUGGACAAGAGAGCCAGGCACCAUAUUUCCCAUGCCCAACACCAGAGAUGUUAUGGGAUCAUCCAUUGUCUUCUUGGCUGCCUCAUAUCACUUAGAAUGCCCUGAUUCACCAAGGCCACGACAGACAACAUUAUGCAUGCAUUUUAUUUCAGAAACCUGGAAGAAAGGAUUUGCAACGUCUUCACCACGAGGCUAUGAUAAAUGCUUCGGGGGGGACAGAUAUACGUACUCAGAGUGGAACAUUGCACCAUGAAUAUAUGUAACAGAAAGAUCACAGGGUACCUCAUG